GGAACCCGCUUGCAUUCUCCCAGUUGCGGUACAAUGCUGUUGGACAAAGGAAUAUACCUGCGUACUGAAUGCCGCUCUGAAUGCGACGGCGUGGUGAAACCUCUUCAAUCUGGUGAACAUUGCGCCGUGAUUACUCACCAUCGACCAACUUAUGACACUUAUCGCUCUAGCUACUCUUAUGUCUGCCGCGUGGGAUAUUGCGUGAGAGGGCAAUGUAUCUAUCUUUCUACGUAUCUCGAAAGAUGCCGGGUUGUAUGAUUUAACUUUUCGGGAUGUCAGGAAAGUACCAUCGCGGUAACGUUACUCGUUGAUAUUGGAGGAUUAGCAUGAAACGUCUUGCCAGAACUGAGCACUACAAAAACUGA